AGCACAGAGCCCUAGGACCUGUCACUGUCACUAGAGACCUCCCUUCAGCUUCCAGAACCACUUGGAGGGACCAGGAAGUCUGUGACUGUGCCAUGUGGCACCAUGAAGUCCCCAUCCUCCUGGACCCAAAUGCCUGGCUCCUGGAGGCUCCCUUUGUUUCUCUGCUUCUCAGCUAAGAACAUUAGAGCCUGACACUCAAGGCAUGGUCUCCCCACCAGCACUGCCAUCUGCAUCACCCGGGAGCUUGCUGGAAAUGCAGAAUCUUGGUGUCUACCCCCAGAUCUGUUGAAUCCAAAUCUGAAUUUUAACUAAUCCCCA
rnacentral:antisense_RNA from 1 species